rnacentral:pre_miRNA from 1 species
GUGGGGACCACCGGAUCCUGGGCUGUGUCCCCUGGCGCCUUGGGCUCCAAGGCCUGUGCCCCUGGAAUCGUGUUCCAGGGGCUGCGCAGCCCCCU